rnacentral:rRNA from 1 species
UACGUAGGGGGCAAGCGUUGUCCGGAUUUAUUGGGCGUAAAGAGCGUGUAGGCGGCCAGGUAGGUCCGUUGUGAAAACUGGAGGCUUAACCUCCAGCUGUCGAUGGAAACCAUCUGGCUAGAGUCCGGAAGGGGAGAGUGGAAUUCCUGGUGUAGCGGUGAAAUGCGCAGAUAUCAGGAAGAACACCCGUGGCGAAGGCGGCUCUCUGGGACGGUACUGACGCUGAGACGCGAAAGCGUGGGGAGCGAACAGG